AGAUCACCAGGAUUGAUCACUGGGGCUUUUAAUCCUUGGGUCCAGGGUUCGAGUCCCUGGCGGCCCA
rnacentral:tRNA from 1 species